UACAGUGUGUGUACAUUACAUACCAUAGGGAGAGGAUGGUAUACUACGUGUGUGUACAUAUACAUACCAUAGGGAGAGGAUGUGUAUACUACAGUGUGUGUACAUAUACAUACCAUAGGGAGGGAUGUGUUACUACAGUGUGUGUACAUAUACAUACCAUAGGGAGAGGAUGUUAUACUACAGUGUGUGUAACAUAUCAUACCAUAGGGAGAGGAUGUGUAUACUACAGUGUGUGUACAUAUACAUACCAUAGGGAGGGAUGUGUACUCAGUGUGUGUACAUAUCAUACACAUAGGGAGAGGAUGUGUAUACUACAGUGUGUGUACAUAU
rnacentral:lncRNA from 1 species